rnacentral:rRNA from 1 species
AUUGAACGCUGGCGGCAUGCCUUACACAUGCAAGUCGAACGGCAGCACGGGUGCUUGCACCUGGUGGCGAGUGGCGAACGGGUGAGUAAUACAUCGGAACAUGUCCUGUAGUGGGGGAUAGCCCGGCGAAAGCCGGAUUAAUACCGCAUACGAUCUACGGAUGAAAGCGGGGGACCUUCGGGCCGCGCGCUAUAGGGUUGGCCGAUGGUUGAUUAGCUAGUUGGUGGGGUAAAGGCCUACCAAGGCGACGAUCAGUAGCUGGUCUGAGAGGACGACCAGCCCCACUGGGACUGAGACGCGGCCCAGACUCCUACGAGAGGCAGCAGUGGGGAAUUUUGGACAAUGGGCGAAAGCCUGAUCCAGCAAUGCCGCGUGUGUGAAGAAGGCCUUCGGGUUGUAAAGCACUUUUGUCCGGAAAGAAAUCCUUGGCUCUAAUACAGUCGGGGGAUGACGGUACCGGAAGAAUAAGCACCGGCUAACUACGUG